UGUGGGGGGAGGGACGCCGCCUUCGCCUCGCCUUUCACGCUGACCGGUCAGACGAAACGCUCUUUUAAUGUUUUUUUUAAGCACGUUAGUGUUUUUACAAAACUAUUAAAGUUUAGUUGAGGGGAGGCGGCCGGAACCUGCUUAUUUCCUAAAUUUUAAACCUUAGCCAGAAGCAAGAACAAUUCGGGUCACGUUAGCAACGCGAAACAGGCCAUAUUUUCUCCAGAUGAUGGUAGGAGGGGGAUUCGAACCCUUUGCCUGUUUUAUCUUGGCUGGUGGAUCUGAAGGACGCAAAGCAGCUUUUCUUUUGAUGAGGCUAAGAGGUGAGAUUUGAGCCCACCGCUUCUUCCGUCCUGGCUGGUGGUCUGGUGCAGAGCUGCUCCUUGGACCCCCGUUACACUGGAGCUGCAACACUUUUAAGAACCAAUCUGUCUGUU